rnacentral:rRNA from 1 species
AUACGUAGGUGGCAAGCGUUGUCCGGAAUUAUUGGGCGUAAAGCGCGCGCAGGCGGUCCUUUAAGUCUGAUGUGAAAGCCCACGGCUCAACCGUGGAGGGUCAUUGGAAACUGGGGGACUUGAGCGCAGAAGAGGAAAGUGGAAUUCCAAGUGUAGCGGUGAAAUGCGUAGAGAUUUGGAGGAACACCAGUGGCGAAGGCGACUUUCUGGUCUGAAACUGACGCUGAGGCGCGAAAGCGUGGGGAGCAAACAGGAUUAGAUACCCUGGUAGUCCACGCCGUAAACGAUGAGUGCUAAGUGUUAGGGGGUUUCCGCCCCUUAGUGCUGCAGCUAACGCAUUAAGCACUCCGCCUGGGGAGUACGGUCGCAAGACUGAAACUCAAAUGAAUUGACGGGG